rnacentral:rRNA from 1 species
AUUGAACGCUGGCGGCAGGCUUAACACAUGCAAGUCGAGCGGGGUGAUGGUGCUUGCACUAUCACUUAGCGGCGGACGGGUGAGUAAUGCUUCGGAAUCUGCCUAUUAGUGGGGGACAACAUCUCGAAAGGGAUGCUAAUACCGCAUACGUCCUACGGGAGAAAGCAGGGGAUCACUUGUGACCUUGCGCUAGUAGCUGACCCUAGGUCGGAUUAGCUAGUUGGUGGGGUAAAGGCCUACCAAGGCGACGAUCUGUAGCGGGUCUGAGAGGAGGAUCCGCCACACUGGGACUGAGACACGGCCCAGACUCCUACGGGAGGCAGCAGUGGGGAAUAUUGGACAAUGGGGGGAACCCUGAUCCAGCCAUGCCGCGUGUGUGAAGAAGGCCUUAUGGUUGUAAAGCACUUUAAGCGAGGAGGAGGCUCUUUUGGUUAAUACCCAAGAUGAGUGGACGUUACUCGCAGAAUAAGCACCGGCUAACUCUGUGCCAGCCGCCGCAGUAA